GUUCUUGUAGUAAAAUAAUUACAGUGGUUCUUCAAGUCAUUGAUCUCGGUUAGAGUCCGGGCAGGAAUU
rnacentral:tRNA from 1 species